GCCCUACCAGACUGGUUAGUGCAAUUGGUAAAGCACGAGAUUCUUAAUCUCAGGGUUGUGGGUUCGAGCCCCAUGUUGGGCA